rnacentral:rRNA from 1 species
AGUGAACGCUGGCGGCAGGCCUAAUACAUGCAAGUCGAACGGCAGCACAGCAGAGCUUGCUCUGUGGGUGGCGAGUGGCGGACGGGUGAGGAAUACAUGGGAAUCUGCCCAGUCGUGGGGGAUAACGUAUGGAAACGUACGCUAAUACCGCAUGCGCCCUACGGGGAAAGUCGGGGACCGCAAGGCCUGACGCGAUUGGAUGAGCCCAUGUUCGAUUAGCUAGUUGGCGGGGUAAAGGCCCACCAAGGCGACGAUCGAUAGCUGGUCUGAGAGGAUGAUCAGCCACACUGGAACUGAGACACGGUCCAGACUCCUACGGGAGGCAGCAGUAGGGAAUAUUGGACAAU